rnacentral:rRNA from 1 species
UACGGAAGGCAGCAGUGGGGAAUAUUGCACAAUGGGCGCAAGCCUGAUGCAGCCAUGCCGCGUGUAUGAAGAAGGCCUUCGGGUUGUAAAGUACUUUCAGUCGUGAGGAAGGUGUUAAGGUUAAUAACCUUAGCAAUUGACGUUAGCGACAGAAGAAGCACCGGCUAACUCCGUGCCAGCAGCCGCGGUAAUACGGAGGGUGCGAGCGUUAAUCGGAAUUACUGGGCGUAAAGGGCACGCAGGCGGUUAAUUAAGUUGGAUGUGAAAUCCCCGGGCUUAACCUGGGAAUGGCAUUCAAGCUGGUUAGCUAGAGUCUUGUAGAGGGGGUAGAAUUCCGAUGUGUAGCGGUGAAAUGCGUAGAGAUGUGGAGGAAUACCGGUGGCGAAGGCGGCCCCUGGGACAAAGACUGACGCUCAUGUGCGAAAGCGUGGGGAGCGAAACAGGGAUUAGAUACC